UGGAAAGUAAAUGCAACUUCUGUCAGAGCUGUUGUUGCUAGGAAACCAGAACACAAACAGAAGAUUCGAGAAAGCCCUUCUUUUGGCUCAGAUCUCAAGGACUGUUCUAAAUUGUGCAACAUAUGAUUUGGGAAGGUCAUGGCUGUUCAAGGGUUAUUUUUUUCUUUUUGUAACUGUCUCAGAGAUUGGCAAUGGGAAGAGAACUCCAACUUCUCAAACAGUAGCAACAUGGGAAUUGGGAGUGUCCCUGUUAGAUGGUCCCUAUGGUGGAAGAGACCAUAUGUGCAAAUGCUGCCUUUGUCCUGAUGAACAAAGCAAGGCGAGGACAACCAGGAAAGGAGGCUCAGAGAACAACUUCAAGCUCCGAGCAUCCAACAGAGUUUCUACUGGCUGAAGGGUAGUUUGGAUACGAUCACAGGUUCUAUCUGCUUCUUCCAAGCCUGUAGUCUCUCUUUUCUGCUUUACCACUAGAAGAUAAGAAAAAGGAAGGAAAACAGCCAAAGAGCAUUGGAGCAAGCUAAAGUGGACUAUUCCUCUGGGCCCCAACUAAUGAAAUUCAAGGACUCCCACAAGGAGAAAGGCAGCUGCAGUCCAAAUGUUCUAAGAGGAACUUAUAGGGCUCAAGGGCCCUAAACCUAGAAGGUGCGAUUGAUUUUGGCUCUGUUUCUUUCUCUCUCUGGAAAUUAAACAAUAUUAAUUCUGAAAGACUAUAUUCUCCUUGGAUCCCAGACAUUGCAAUACUUUAAGCACAGCCCCUUUGAAAGAGAUAUUGAAAUAAAAUUCAUUUAAUACUUUAAGUGAUCCUAAAUACUACUACAGCACAAUUUGUAUUCAAUAUUCUAAGACUUAUAAAUUUGCAUUCCUUUCAAAACAACAACAAUGAAACUCUCCAUUGUCCUUGUGAACUAGAAUAGACUCUAAAAAGUCUCCUCAUUAUUCACUCCCCCCAACCCCAGGAAAAGGAUUAAAUAUCUGUGGUCCUUGCCAUAUCUCCCUAGGAAAAUACAUAUUCUUCUCAUUGACUAUGGGCUCAGCCAGAGAAGCUGCUUUCCCCAGCAGAAAGUGAGAAGAGAAGUAAUCAUUUACAAGUAGAAGCUGUGAAAGUUAUUACAUGAUUCAACUACCUUUUACUUUUCCCUCUCACAAGACCAAGAACCUGGGCUCCAAGACAGUGAAGACAUAGGAAGCAGCAGUAGAGCUGUUUAGCAGAACUGAUUUAAAACCAACAUGUUACCAUAAGCAGAAAAUAAACAUGUGUUGUAAGCCACUGGAAUGUUUUGUUACUGUUUUUCAUUUUUCUGGUUAUUGUUAUAGUUUGUUAUUAUAACAUAGCCUAGACAAAGAAGACCAUUAUCUGAACCCAAUUUAUGGUAAUAAAGAGUUUGUCUUAAGAAGUCAGGUGAAAACACAUCAUGAUCACUUGUAGAAGGGUAACAACAAGUUCAUUAUUUUUAGUAGAUUACAUUUGCAAAGAGAUGA